GGGGGGGGGGGGGGGGGGGGUGGGGGCGGGGGGGGCGGGCGGGGGGGCGCCGGGGGGGGGGCUCGGGUGGCGAAGGGGUGAGUAGCACGUGAGUAACCUGCCCUGGACUUCGGGAUCACUGCCGGAAACGGGGGCUAGUACCGGGGAGGGAUCCUUGCUGCACGGUGGGGGUUGGAAAGCUUCGGCGGUUUUGGCUGGACUCUCGGCUUAUCAGCUUGUUGGUGGGGGAGUGGCUUACCCAGGCGUCGACGGGUAGCCGGCCUGAGAGGGCGACCGGCCACAUUGGGACUGAGGUACGGCCCAGACUCCUACGGGAGGCAGCAGUGGGGAAGAUUGCACAAUGGGCGGAGGCCUGAUGCAGAAACGCGGCGUGCGGGAUGACGGCCUUCGGGUUGUAAACCGCUUUCAGCAGGGGCGAAGCUUGUGGUGACGGUACCUGCAGAAGAAGCACCGGCUAACUACGUG
rnacentral:rRNA from 1 species